CCAAGUCAAAAAUUCUGAACGUGUGUUUAAUACAGUUAUGACCUACAUGCCUCAAGAUUUUCGGGGAACACUUAUCAGACAACAAAGGGAGCGUUCAGAAAAGAAUAAGCAAGCAGAGGUUGAUGAUUUGGUUAAUUCUGGUGGAAGCAUACGUGAUCGCUAUGCAUUGUUAUGGAAACAACAAAUGGAUAGGAGGAGACAGUUAGCACAGCUUGGUUCUGCAACAGGUGUAUACAAAAC
rnacentral:misc_RNA from 1 species